UAUUACAAAACAUUAUCAGAUCUGUUCCCCAAAAAAGGCCUCACAAACAGCAACUUGAUAAAUACAGACAUCAUUGCAUUUUCCCUUGCCAGUGGAGAAACAGAAAAGCUAGAUCCACCUCUGAAACUUGAGUUUGUACUACAACAGGAUAUUGGAGAUGAAAAUGCAAUAUGCAGUUACUGGGAUUUUAAUCAAAGUGCGUGGUCAGACCGAGGCUGCUACACCGUUUUUCAGAAACGCUACCC